AUUGAACGCUGGCGGCAGGCUUAACACAUGCAAGUCGAGCGGGGGAAGGUAGCUUGCUACCGGACCUAGCGGCGGACGGGUGAGUAAUGCUUAGGAAUCUGCCUAUUAGUGGGGGACAACAUCUCGAAAGGGAUGCUAAUACCGCAUACGUCCUACGGGAGAAAGCAGGGGAUCUUCGGACCUUGCGCUAAUAGAUGAGCCUAAGUCGGAUUAGCUAGUUGGUGGGGUAAAGGCCUACCAAGGCGACGAUCUGUAGCGGGUCUGAGAGGAUGAUCCGCCACACUGGGACUUGGACACGGCCCAGACUCCUACGGGAGGCAUCAGUGGGGAAUAUUGGACAAUGGGGGGAACCCUGAUCCAGCCAUGCCGCGUGUGUGAAGAAGGCCUUAUGGUUGUAAAGCACUUUAAGCGAGGAGGAGGCUACUUUAGUUAAUACCUAGAGAUAGUGGACGUUACUCGCUGAAUAAGCACCGGCUAACUCUGUGCCAGCCGCCGCGGUAA
rnacentral:rRNA from 1 species